rnacentral:lncRNA from 1 species
CUGGACUGUUAUGGGGGGACAUGAGGGGCACAACAGAGGCAGGAGUAUGGUGAGGAGGCUGGUGUGAGAGGAUACGUAUGGUCUUAUCACACAGCUAGGAUGGGAGGCCUUUUGAGGAGCUUGGCUGUGCGAGGAGAACAGGUAGGUAGCUGGAGGCAGGUGCAGGGUCCAGGAGGCUUUUUAAAGAUGGGAGGCCCUUGGGCUGAGAGGGAGGACAAAGCAGAGGAUGGCCUGGGGGACCCAGGAAGGGAUGUGGGGCAGCACUGAGGGCCCAGCGGAGGUGGAAGCCAUAGGUCAUGGCAGGGCCGUCAGUACCACAUAGGCAACAGGAGAGGCUGACUUUAUCCCAGCUGGGGCCAGGCUUCAUUCCUGUCCCCAAAUGCUUUUCUUGCUCUGGGCCCCCAUCUGAUGCCUUCUCAUCUUUUUUUCUAGCAAACUACGGAGCCAAACUUCCCU